rnacentral:lncRNA from 1 species
UGAUCCUCUUGCCAUCGAUCACUUCAGUAGAGGUUACGACUGAUCUGAAACUGCACGGCCCAGUUGUUUCCUCAGCGAAGGAGAAGAUGGUCUGCCCAUCGUGACCGAAUGAAGUGAACGGCAUAAAGGACUGCAUCAAGCCAGAAAACAAACUGGAGCUGCUUCCUCUUCCACUGUUUCUGAUGUUGUUGAAGAGAUCCAUCCCUCCAAAGACUUCCCUAAAGAUGUCUUCGGGGUCUUGGAAUAUAUACACGAGCUCCGAGGUCUGGCACUGGCAGUACGGCACGCGUGGACCGGCGCCGGCGCGCACCUGGGCGCAGCUCAGAUCGCCCUGCAAAGCAUGCACCAGCAGACCUGGAAACCUCCAUGCCCAAGCAGCAGCUUCCCAUCGCUGUGCCAUGUCUCUGCCCUUCUGUGGGGGAUACACAAGGGGUGAACAGGCACGGGGGUUUUGGGGGAAGUGAACCCCAGCUUCUGUCCCGCGUUUCAACUUCCGUGGCCGACAUCAAACGCGUCGCUGCAGCCCGAGCCCCCACAGGCCUGACGGAGGAGCAAAAAGAGAGGGCUGGAGGCAGCAGAUCCUAAUCUUUAUUAAAUAAGAACAAAGCUUAUGCCGGCUAAUGAGAAAAACAAACUGAUGAAAGAUCCGGCGAGCUCCUCCGAAGGACACAAAGAAAUUC